rnacentral:rRNA from 1 species
GUCCACGCCGUAAACGAUGAGUGCUAGGUGCUGUGGGUAUUGACCCCCGCGGUGCCGCAGCUAACGCGUUAAGCACUCCGCCUGGGGAGUACGGCCGCAAGGCUAAAACUCAAAGGAAUUGACGGGGGCCCGCACAAGCGGUGGAGCAUGUGGUUCAAUUCGACGCAACGCGCAGAACCUUACCUGUGUUAAAUCCACUGGAAUCUGCCAGAGAUGGCGGGUGCCCUUCGGGAACCAGUGAGAAGGUGCUGCAUGGCUGUCGU